GGCUGGGUCAAGGCAGCUGCCUUGCUUCUGGACUGGCUUGUUCUGAGGAGCCUCGAGGUUCUCUCUGCAGCACUGCACCAUGCUGAGCAGGCACACCUCCAGCAGUGAAAGGUUGUACAGCUGCAAGCUGCCACUGCUAAUCUUAUUGAGGGGCUGUCAGAGACUGCAUCCUGGCUCCUGGUCAGGCUCUGACCCUGGAGCGCACAAGGCUGCUUCCCCUUUUCAUCCCUUUGCUCUGAUUUCUUCAGAAGUGAAAACUAAGCAAGGUCCAGGAGGAUCCCAGAUCUGCAAUCAAAAUCCUGGAGAAGAAAAAUGCUUUGUGUAGAGUCUUCACAAAAGGCCCUUCAACACAGGACCAGGUGAAGUAGCUUUGUUCCUCUCUGGAAUGUAAGCUGAUUUUAUGUUUUUUCUUCUUUAUCAAAAACCAGUUUUUCUCCAUGUGGUUUCAUUUUCAGGGUCAGGGCUUAAUAGGAAUUUGUGGCUGAGAUUUUCUCUGCUUCUAGUUUCCACUUUAGAAAUAAAUUAUAUUAUUGUGAUUAUAUAAUGAAUUGGUCAGUUAUUGAGCUCUUUAGCAGUUACUAAAAACAUAAACUAAAACCUUACAGAACUUACUAAAGGAUAUUAAAAGAUCUGAUUUAAAGGAAAGAUUGUUUUCUUUAUCAUUAGAAUUUCAAAACCCAGCUUGAUGUUUGAUGGCAGAUCUGAGUGCUUAGAGAAUGACAAAAAUUGUUUAUAUCAGUGUUUGUUGAGCUUAUCUUUUUAGCUAAGGAGAAACUAAAUAUAGUGAAGGGUAAUGUAAAUUAGAACUAGACCAGAAAUUACAUCAAGAUUUUGUUAAUUUGGGAUUGAGUAUGGAACAAAUAGGAACAGAGUAUGCAGUCCUUGUUCUCUGACCUCCUUCACAGGUCUGCAUUCAGAAUCGCUCAUGAACAAAAGCUUCUCAACCAAAAGCUUAUUACAACCAAGUAUGUAUACUAAUGCCUUUGAACAAAUGGAAUUUUAGAUCCAGAAGGCUGGAGUUACAUGGAGACUCGAUCUUACAUUAGGAAGAUCUUGGCUGAUAACCUUCCAAACAUCUCAAACUCCUACCUGUGAUUGUAGUAAGGCAUUGUAUGUGUUGUAGUGGUGCUGAGUCAGCAGCACUCUGUGGAGAUUACAGACCUAUUAUCAACUGCAGAA
rnacentral:lncRNA from 13 species